UACGGAGGGUGCGAGCGUUGUCCGGAAUCACUGGGCGUAAAGGGCGCGUAGGUGGCGCGGGAAGUCAACGGUGAAAGUUCGGGGCUCAACCCUGAAUCGGCCGUCGAUACUCCCGGGCUCGAGCACUGUAGAGGCAGAUGGAAUUCCGGGUGUAGCGGUGGAAUGCGUAGAGAUCCGGAAGAACACCGGUGGCGAAGGCGGUCUGCUGGGGUGAGGCUGACGCUGAGGCGCGACAGCGUGGGGAGCAAACAGG
rnacentral:rRNA from 1 species